rnacentral:rRNA from 1 species
GACGUAGGAGGCGAGCGUUGUCCGGAUUCAUUGGGCGUAAAGAGCUCGUAGGCGGUUUGUCGCGUCUGCUGUGAAAACCCGAGGCUCAACCUCGGGCCUGCAGUGGGUACGGGCAGACUAGAGUGCGGUAGGGGAGAUUGGAAUUCCUGGUGUAGCGGUGGAAUGCGCAGAUAUCAGGAGGAACACCGAUGGCGAAGGCAGAUCUCUGGGCCGUAACUGACGCUGAGGAGCGAAAGCGUGGGGAGCGAACAGG